CCUGCUGGGAACUUUAGUCUCCGGUGAGGGGCGCUGGCUCUGCGCGCAAGGCCUGAUGGGAAUUGUAGUUCUGCGGCUUUGCCUGAGGGGCCGGCGACCGAGCCUGGCCGAGCCGAGCCGAGCCGAGCCGAGCCUGGGCGCGUCGUGCGGGCCACGAAGCCACACCCUGUUAAAGCCCAGGCUUUGUGCCCUCCUUGGCUCGGGGUGCCGGUUCAGCCCGGCUCUGACCUGCCCUCACACCGCUGCAGCACCCAGCCUGUGGGGAACGACUUGACCCGCAGCCCGCGAGUCACCGGAGGGAGAACAGUCCGUGCAAACAGCUGGUUAAAGCACAGAACACAGGUGUAAAAGUCAUGUCUGGCUAUAAUAAGAUAUAAAAUACCCUGCUUUUAUUGCAAGGAACUCGUUAAAGAGAAGCAUUCUGUCUUCACGACUGUUCACUGGUCGUGGUGUAUCGACUGUGGUGAAUUUGGGCGAACUCUCCGGAUUCCUCCUGCAGGCCCUGCCAGGGAUUUCCACAAUAAAUGCAGCCCAGGAGCGCGGCUGGAGGAGCCCAGAGUGUGCACAGACACAGCACAGCCCAUCGGGCACAGCACACAGGGGACCCUCGGCUCCACUUCUCAAGAGAGACCAAGUCAGUUGAUGAAAAGCCAAGGAACGAUCACAUCCAUUAAAGCUGCCUCAGGAGGAUAUUAACUGUAUUAAGGUGCUUGCCAAGAAGCAUUGCAAGACUGCCUGCAAAUGGUGCUUGUGCUGGGUAUUGAACGGGAAUCUCAGCUCCCUGGGUAUAAUGAAAACAGUGAGAUACUUUCAUGGCUUCAGUCUCCUGAACAUCUCAGUGAAAUCUGUUUGAAUAUAAGAGCAUCCUGAACAGAUCAUCAAAUCUCGCAUCUUCUCACCAACAACAGACAAGCCCUGCCCUCCUUCCUUGCCCAUCAGGAACCAGCCCUGCGAAGCUUUACUUGUGGGUGCGAGUGAUGCAUAAACCAGGAUGCAACAGCAGCUUGGGCUGCUGGAGACCUCCAAAGAGAUGACUGGGGACACAGGGAGCUGAGCAUCCUGCACAGAGCCUUCCCUUGGCCAGUAUUUAAUGGCACUUUAUUUCCUUUUCAUUCAGUCUUCAUGAUAAUGUUUGUAAGUCAUUCUGGAUUUUUGGAGAGAAGAACAGUUUCUGAAGCAAGCAAGAUUGCUUUUUACAGCUGCAAAUGGUUUAUGUUGCCUGAUGACCAUCAGAGGAUUUAAUUUGUCAACAGACUACAAGUGGCCAAACCACCUCCAUCAGCUGCUGUGACAGAAUACAGUCAACAGGAAAAAUGCAGUUCAAUCUUUGGAGACUUAAAGUGCUCACUCAAAUGCACUGAACAAGAAGAAUGCUUCAGCUCCCAUCAGCUCCUGUCUUCUUUGGAAAUGCUGGCCUUGAGGUCUUCUGGCUCCUUUCCUUGACUUCCUACAUGUCGGGAUGCUCUGAUCUUGUGCCUGGCAGAAACAGUCCCUGAACACUGUAGAAGUGGCUCUACCUAAUGGUCUCAACCUAUGAUCCCAGUUUGUACUGCAUACAUGACUGAAGAAGAUCAUAGAUCUCAGUCUUUCCACAGUUUUGACAAAGCGGAUAAAUAAGUGGGAGAAACCAUUAAACCUUUCUCACAAUGGCCACCGAUGCUUUCUGUGUUACAACUACUAGCACCAAGUCAGUCUCCAGCCUCCCUGUAUACAUCAGCUUUGGGACAGUUUCCACUGUGACAACUUCCCGGGAAUUCUCAGUGACAUGACAAACAGUCGUAUUUUUCAUGUGACCAUUUAUUUAUGCACAGGAAUGGAACUGGCAUUUAGCAUCUCACCUGAGAUGGAAAAUUUUGAAAAUGAAAGGCUGUUUAAUAAUGGCCAAGACAAAUAAUUCUCCCAGAGCAUCUGUGACCACCGUCUGAAUACAGUCAAUACAACAUUCUCAUUCAGAGCCAUCGACUGGAAUCUCAGCUGGACUAGCUAAGCAAUGAAGCCAUUCUGGUUUACAUCAAGUGAAGAUCUGGCUUUAACGACAAGACUGAAUCAAAUGAAAGUCUUCAGUUUUUCUAAAUAAGCGUACACAUAAUGCUCACCUCUUUUUUUUGAGGGAUUGAACUGAUUGUCCAAAAUGCAAAUCUGCCAUAUAGGAGGUUUGGUUUUCAAAUCAUAUAACCUUAAAGCAUUAUUUUACUAUAUAGUGGGAUAAAUAUCUUUGGUUUGUGUAUUUGAGUUUUAAGUGAAUUUGUUCUCAUGAAAAUAAAGCCAACUACUUUUAUAUUCAAACAGCAUUGUCAGACCAAUAGUAAGAUCCUGCACUUUCGUUCUUCGCUCUGUUUAGAAACUGCUUAUAUACAAGAGGGUUCUAUGAAUAAUUACUUAUUAGAGGGUAAAAUUCCUAUAAUCUGGGCUUUGAAUUAUUAUUUUAUUUGCAUUUAUGUAGAUAAA